rnacentral:lncRNA from 1 species
GAGUUUCGCCGAUCGCUCAUCGCCUCAUUAUUUCGGCCGAUGGAGCAGUCUUCGCCGACGUCAUCCUCUUAUUCCAACACAAGCACCUGCAAUGAAGUGCCUUCUACAUCCAACUCUCACGGCUCUCAACAGGCCGCCACCCCAUUCAAACACCCAUUCUUUGCCCCGAUGAUCAAUUCAAUUAACUCUGUGGACUCUAUCGGUACCAUUCCAGCGGCCAUUGCAACAGUUCCACCAUAUGCUAACCGUGCUCAUCAAUCCAGUAGCACAGAGCAGCUAGCAUCAAAUUCAGAAGAAGCAACUGUAAGUGAUGAUACAACCGUGGUACCUCAAGGAAGCUCCUCGCAGUCGGAUAAGCCUGCAUCUGGGCUAGUUAUUUGAAAAGCAUAUCAAACAAAUUAUCAUUGUGCCCAUUAUCACCACCACUUGACCAAGGCUGGGUUUGAAGCGAGCCUUGUGGGCCACUGCCCAUGGCAGCAAAUCACAGAUGAGCGGCAACAGAUUUCAAAGUAAUGAUUUUUCUGUCGCUUUUCAAGUCUUCAAAGGUUAUCACUUUUGGAAUUUAGAGGCGGCAUAAUUGUAAAUCCAGCCCUGCACUCAUUAUCCUAGCUCAUCAUUAUUUUCCAACCUUUAACGAGCUAAUAUUUUUCCAAACAUUGAUUUUUGCAGCUAAGGUCUAUAAAGAAAGUAUGGAAGCACCUUGACGAGUUUAUCACUUAAACAGAACUACUUGAAUGUAAUUUAAAAUUGUGGUAGUUUGUAGUUAUGCUUUGAUUUUUCUUCUUUUUUGUUGUUGAUUCAUAAAAUGUGUAAAUUUAAGAUAUUUUUAUUUUAAGGGAAAAGACGAUAACUUGUUACACUUCGUGAAAUGUUUUAUAUGCCUAUUUUAAUACAUGUACUUUAAAAGAUCUAGUUUGUUUUCAUAAUUUCUAAUUAAUUUUACUCGCCUUUUUUUAAAAAUUAUUUUCCUCCAAGAGAACCAUUUUAAUUUACCUUCGAGUCGAAGAAUAUCGUCAAUGUUAUUAUUUACUCACACCCAAGUAGCAUUGUCAUCUACUUUCUAGGUGGCGCUCAUCAAGAAAAUGUCUACUUUCUAGAUAGAAAAAUUUACUUGAAAGAAAAGAGGUAUAAAGUAGAUCUAAAAAAUAGACACAUGAAAAUAGAAAGAAAAUAAAUUUUUCCUUGCAUUUUCUUAAAAGAAAACAUUAAGAAAUUGGCUAGAAAAUAGUUCUACUUUCAAUAAAUUUUCUAUCUUUUUUCCAAAUGGAAAGUUGACAGAAAGUAGACCUAUGAAAUAGAUCUAUUUUCUUUGGUCA